GGAUAGAGCAACUGCCUUCUAAGCAGUAGGCCGGAGGUUCGAGUCCCCCACAGCGCGCCA
rnacentral:tRNA from 1 species